rnacentral:rRNA from 1 species
CCGCUGAAUUUAAGCAUAUAAUUAAGCGGAGGAAAAGAAACUAACAAGGAUUCCCUCAGUAACGGCGAGUGAAGCGGGACGAGCUCAAACCAAAGAAUUGUGGUGUGUUGGCAGUAGUGCUCGGCCGAAGUCCCUUGGAACAGGGCAGCGCAGAGGGUGAGACUCCCGUUCGGCUGUGCAUUUGAGCUUGCAUGAGUGAGUCGUGUUGUUUGGGAUUGCAGCACAAAGCGGGUGGUAAAUUCCAUCUAAAGCUAAAUAUUGGUGGGAGACCGAUAGCGCACAAGUACCGUGAGGGAAAGAUGCAAAGAACUUUGAAAAGAGAGUUAAAGAGUACCUGAAAUUGCUGAAAGGUAAGCGAAGGAAACCAGUGCCCAGGUUGUGAUAUUUCUCUGUUCGCUUGCGGGCAGAGCGCUGUGACAGCCGCCGGUCAGCGUUGUUUGUGUCGGCUGUAAGUACCAGCGGUAACGAAUGACUCUGACGAAAUGGUUUUCUUUACCCCGUCUUGAAACACCGGACCAAGGA